UCGAAGGCUGAUUUCCCUUG
rnacentral:siRNA from 1 species